CAAUUAUAAACCCAUGCCUUAUCACAUAGACUAAUCUUGUAUUACGACCUUGUUCAAUCGUUUAAUUUGCUUAAUGUUUGUUGCUCUUGUUAACGGGUUAUCUUUAUCUCAUUACAUAGUCUUUGAUAUUUGUAUGACAAAAUUGACUCUGAUAUAAGAUGGAACCUCACAAGGAAUACCAGAAUAUUAUCCAAAUGAAUGGCCGCUAAUUGAAUUCAAAUCAUCUUCAUUACCAUCAACAUCAAUAACAACUUCAUGCCUGUUUAUAAAUGGUCAAAUUAGUUUAAAUCGACCGCUCACAUUUUGGGUUAUCUGGCUUGGGUUUUUAUAAUCUGGUUGUUGUCAUUAUUGGGUUACGUCUUGCAGUUCACGUUCACUGACUGGUCAUCUUUAUCGUAAUUUAGUAGCAAAUCUUUUUGUUUUUGCUAAUUCUGGUUAACCAUUUUUAACAUGUGUCAAGGUGAGUUAAUCAGAUGAGUGGAGUUUAACUGAUUAUCAGUUCAAUCAUCAUUUUGUUACUUAUUUUGGUCCUGUUAACCAUCAUCUUAAAGUUUAAUGUUAAUCAACCAAACCAAGUCAAGGUUAACCUAAUCAUCAACUUUCAAUGUACACUUAACCUUAUAUACGGACGCUAUUGACAGACCAAUCUAUUGAUUAAACCCAAAUUUUUCAAUAGACUUGCAUCUCUAUCAACAAGAGCCCUAUAAAUUAUAUCAUCACCAUCUAAAAAUUGUGUUAAAAGCUCAUCUAACCAAAAAUUGGAAGCCACUCAAAAUUCAUUCAAAUGGCAUUUUUCUUCGCUUAAAAUUAGUCAAAUGUGGUUUCCAUAAAGAUGACAUUGAAAUUGACGAUAAAAAGCCAUCCAAUGGAUCUGUUUAUCAACUUAAUGUCAAUAUUGUUUUUCAAAUCUUGUUUACAUGUUAAUUGUAGAUUAAGUAAUUGUUUGACUAUGAAAAACAAAUGUUAGAUAAUUGUUGGCCGGCAAACAAACAAGAAUGGACUUCUAUCAUGCUGAUGAUGUGCUUCACGCUGCUUUUACGAGGAAAACAAAUGCAUGAAUUGUCAUGUGGAGGAAAAAUAGUAAUUACCUGGACAGAAUAAUCACAAUUUGCGUGUAAUUUGGAUAUUAAACAUUGGAUGGUCGCAACAAUUCAUCUUGUUGGAUAAUUAAAGCCAAGUCAAAAUCAAGUGAUGAUUCGAUACCAAAAUUAUGGCAUAAAUUGAAGCCCUAAAUCACUAUGUAAAUUGUUCACAUUAUGCAAUGACACAAUCAGUUGAUUGCUUCAAGAGCAACGAGUUAAACCAGUUAAAAUUGACUGAUUGAUUCAAGAGCCCAGAUUACAAAAUUAUUGAUAUUUCAAUCAAUGGUUUGAGGUCAAAUCAGCCAACGCCAUUGGUGAUACAAUCAUAUUUAUUGCAAUCUAAUUUCCUCAAUCAUCGUUUAGUCAAUAGUUAAGAUGACAAUGUUGUAUCUGUCAACAAUCAUGUGUUGAUCUUGAUUGUAAUUGAGCCCUCAAGAUUGAACUAUUUUUAAGUCAGCAUUGUUUUUGUUGAUAAUUGAGACAUUAAUUGUAUUCAAUAAUGUUUCUUGGCUUUCUUUUGCUUAUUGUGUCAAUCAGAAUAAUUAAUCUGGAAAAAUAAAAAUCUUUUUUGGGUUUUCUUUUUUUAUCAAUCAAA